rnacentral:tRNA from 1 species
AGGGGUGUAGCUCAGCUUGGUAGAGCAGCGGUCUCCAAAACCGCAGGCCGCGGGUUCGAGUCCUGCCACCCCUGCCA